rnacentral:misc_RNA from 1 species
AGCAGCAGCAGCAGCAGCAGCUGCAGCUGCUGGAGCGGCAGCCCCAGGCUCUGAAAGGGACCCAGCAGGAAAUUCAGAAGGCCCAUCAGUUGUUCUCCCCAAGAGAGCUUCUCGCCUUAGCUUUUCUUUUUCUUCUAGUUCUCGCUCUCUCUGCCUCUGCUUCUCAGCAAUCUCAUCUAACUUUGCCUUACGUUCAGCUUCUUCUUUCCUUCGUCUCUCAGCUUCUUCACGCUUGUGAGCUUCCUCCUCUUCACGCAACUUUCUCAGUCUUUCUUCUUCAGACCUCACAUAAAAUAUUUUCUUCCUCUUGGCCUCCCUCUCUUGUUUUCGGGCUUGAAUGAUUUGUUUGAUUCUUUCUUCCCUCACUGCUCUCUGCCGGGCAAACUCAGUUUGCCGCCGGCUCACCACUCUUUCCUGGAAUAUCAUCUGUAAAAGAAUAACAGAAACCAAAUUCAUUUUAAGUAAUGACCGAUAAAAUAAAUGCAAGGCAAAAUUAUAUACUGACCUUGUUGUCCAGCAUACGAGACAGCCUAAUCUUUUCCCUGAGGUCACCAUCAUGGUGCUGCCUGCUUAGUUCAACCUCUUGCUGCUGCUCACGCUCAUGAACGGCCUUCUCUUCUACCAACCGUUGCUGGAAAGCAGCCACAAUCAAUGGAGCUGCCUCUUCUCUCUUUGCUCUUUCCAAAUAAUCCAUUGUUUUAGCUAAUUUUUGUAAUUUCUUCUCCAUUUCCUGCCUCUCCCUGAGCUGCUCAUUUAAAGCCCUUUCCAUUAUAGUUUGCUUUGUCACUUUCGCUCCUUCUAAAAUUGGCUUCUUUCCCCCCUUCCGUUUACUUCGCUUGUCAACAUCCUCAAGCAAAGCCUGUGCUUCUUCAAGUUCUCGCUGCUCUAUUUCCUGGAGGAUCCUUUGGUUCUUCCUUUGCUCAAUUUCAGCUGCAAGCCUCUUCUGCUCUGCCUCUUCUCUUUUCUUCUGUUGUUGCAGCCUUCUUGACUCUUCCUCUCGUUCCAUUUCCAAGAGUUGUCGUUCUUGUUCUUCCUUCCUCUUUUCAAUAAUUGAUUUCCGAGCAAGGAGUCUCUUGUGUUCCUUAUCCACAAUCUCAGCUAAUCCAGGUAAAAUUUCACCUAGCUUUGAAGAAUUCUUUGCUGGAGGAUAUAUCAUGGCCCUUGCAUUAUUUAAGGAUUCAGCAAAAAUUGUAAGAUGAUCUCUCAGUCCAUCCGAUUCAAGACCCACAUUAGUGAACAAUAUGACACUCUUCAUAUGGUCAACUUUCAAAGAUGUGAAAUUAUGUUUGACAGAAUCAACAGAAAUCUUCUCAACAACAGAAAAAUCAAAGAAGGGGAUCAUCUGAGACAAACUCUCGAUUUUCAUCAUCUGAUACACUUGAGACACCUGUUGAAGCAACCUCAGGGUAGCAAGCUUUUCAAGGGCAGGAAUAUAUUGAGAUAGUUGCACUUCUGGCACAGAGGAAGCUGAUGUAAGUUUUCCGCCAAGUUUUGAAAUUUUUGAUAGUAAUGGCAGAACUUUUGCUGCAAGAUCUAGUGGGAGAAACUCAUGCUCCAAUAGAUGGUAAAUAUCUUUUACUUCCUGUGUCGCACAGCUCAAUACACCUUUGGAAACCAGUUCUGACAGAAGGAAUGACCUUGACAGCUGCAGAAAGAAAAUGUGAUGAGAAUGAGGAGACCAUCAACAACAAUAAUAAUGCAUAUAUUAUGAUAAAAAGAUAAAACACAAAUUAAGGUGACUGACAUCAAAUCAAAUAGCAUAAAUCACGUUACCACUUCCCUACUCUCAAGUUUUAGCUCUAGAUUGAACCCGAUUAGAUUGGCCAUCCUCAAAUUGCGCUCUUUUUCAUUUUCAAGUUCCAGAUGAGAUGCGCCAUGUGUGCGGUCAUAAGGAGCAACUGCUAGUGCAGCCAACACAACAGAUGAGGCUAUCAACUGUAAAUCCUUCUGGCUUAAGUUCUUAUUGAAGCUUUUCUGAAGUGUAAAAAGUUUGAACCAUGCAUAUGCAUGAUAAAGAUGACUUGAUGAUAUCCAGAAAAUCUCAGUAAGCUUGGCAUAGUACACCACCAUCAAAGAUGGCUUAGGAGUCUUUUUGACCAUGCACAUUAAUCCAUGAAUAUCUUCUAUCGACCGAAAAGCUUCCUGCCAGAGUUCAAGCUCAGUAGCAACUUUCAGUUGCUCAAAUCGUGUAUCAAGGUACAGCUGCAAGCUCUCUGGGGUGGACAGAUCAGGCCGGUCCCUUUGAUCCCUAUAUUUAUUGAGGUUUGCUAAAUGGUUUCUGAUGAUCUCACAUAGUCGCCUAAAUUCUGUUGUCCGCUUGUAUUGUUUGCAGAAUUGGAAAGCUCGAUGCGCUGUCAUCGCAUAUAAUGCCUCCAACUUCGAGUUGUUUCGUAAUAUUUCAAGCACAGUUCUAUAGGUCUCCCACAAAAACUUGAACCAAGGGGUAACAAGUUCACGAUCAGACCUAUCCUUUCCCUUCUCUCCAGUGACAUAACUCAGCAUCAGGUCUUCUGGUCUCUUAUCUGCUUCAAGAUCAUCAACAUCCAGAGCUUCUUCUAGGGCUUGAGCCUGACUACGAGCUUGUUCAGCUUUCUCAGUGGAGAGAUGCAUGAAAUGCUUGAUUACCUCCUCCAAGGAAUUUACAUUCACUUGUUGGCACACUAUGCGAUACUGUAUUAAACCAUCCUUUGCAAACCUUCCCCUCCGCAUGUCAACACAAAGCUCCACAUAUUUGAACAUGAUCUUUUCAAGUGUCUUUUGCCAUGCUCGGUACCUCUUUGAGGUGAUAAGAUCAUGCAGUGCUUGCAAAGCAUCUUGCUUUUGCCCCACAUUUAUCAACUCUUCAGCCCGCUUUAAAGCGUUCUCUGGUUUGGCAAAAGUCGCCAUCCUGGAAACAAAAUUUGCACUUGAUCAGCAGACAAUAGAGUGAGCGUAGAAAGCAGAAGGGGGAGUGCCGCUCACUGUGGCGAGAAGAAGAGCGAGAGUAGCAGCAGAUUAAGUUAGGGUUGGUU